ensembl:miRNA
CCUCUACUUUAACAUGGAAGUACUUGCUGGAUGCUUGAAAAAGUAAGUGCUUCCAUGUUUUAGUUGUGG